rnacentral:rRNA from 1 species
GCCAAAAAUCUAGCCCUUCUCAAUCUAAUGAACCACAAAACUAAACCCAAUUAACUAAAACAUUUUAACAUCUUAGUAAAGGCGAUUAAAAAAUUAUUAGGCGCUAUACAAAAAGUACCGCAAGGGAAAGAUGAAAUAAAAAUGAAAUAAAUAUUAAGCAUUAAAAAGUAGAGACUUAACCUCGUACCUUUUGCAUCAUGGUUUAACUAGUCAAAUCAAGCAAAACGACUUACAGUUUGACCCCCCGAAACUAAGCGAGCUACUUCAGGGCAGCUUACGGAGCAAACCCGUCUCUGUCGCAAAAGAGUGGGAAGACCCUAAAGUAGCGGUGACAGACCUAACGAGCUUAGUGAUAGCUGGUUACUCAAGAAAAGGAUUUUAGUCCAACCUAGAGCCAUUUAAAUCCCUCAAAAUCAAACGUAAGCUUUAGAGUAAUUCAAAUAAGGUACAGCCUAUUUGAAACAGGAUACAACCUAUGUAUAAGGGUAAUUAUUUUCAACAAUAAUCAAGUAGGCUUAAAAGCAGCCAUCUUUAAAAUAGCGUCAAAGCUUCAUUGAAUCUUCACCUAAUACCACAAAUUAUUAAAAGCCCUACCACAGUAUUGAGUACUUCUAUAUACUUAUAGAAUAUUUUAUGUUAAAACUAGUAACAAGAAGAAGUACUUCUCUUAAAUGCAAGUGUAAAUCAGAGAGGACCAACCGCUGACCAUUAACAUAUAUGUAAAUAAAUUAACAACUUCACAAGAAAAACUUAAUUUAUGUUAUGUUAACCUGACACAAGAGCAUUAAAAGAAAGAUUAAAAGAAAAAGAAGGAACUCGGCAAAUAUUAACCUCGCCUGUUUACCAAAAACAUCGCCUCUUGAUGAAAUAUAAGAGGUCCAGCCUGCCCAGUGACUCUGUUUAACGGCCGCGGUAUCCUAACCGUGCGAAGGUAGCGUAAUCACUUGUUCUUUAAAUGAGGACUAGUAUGAACGGCAUCACGAAGGUUAUACUGUCUCCUUUUUCCAAUCAGUGAAACUAAUCUCCCCGUGAAGAAGCGGGGAUAAUGAUAUAAGACGAGAAGACCCUAUGGAGCUUUAAAUUUAAUAACACCUGCUUUUUUAUAUUCCGUUCCAGAAUGAUUAACAACUAUUUUAGCUUCUUGAUUAUUAAUUUUAGGUUGGGGUGACCACGGAGAAGAAAAUAUCCUCCACAUUGGACGGGACUUAAUUCCUGAGCUGCGAGCUACAACUCAAUGCACCAAUAAAUUGACAUCAAUUGACCCAAUAUUUUGAUCAAUGAACCAAGUUACCCUAGGGAUAACAGCGCAAUCUGCUUCAAGAGCUCCUAUCGACAAGCAGGUUUACGACCUCGAUGUUGGAUCAGGGUAUCCCAGUGGUGCAGCCGCUACUAAAGGUUCGUUUGUUCAACGAUUAAAACCCU